rnacentral:rRNA from 1 species
ACGCACGCUGGCGGCGUGCUUAACCCAUGCAAGUCGAACGGAAAGGCCCUGCUUUUUUGGGGUGCUCGAGUUGCGAACGGGUGAGUAACACGUUAGUAACCUUCCCUUGACUUUUGGAUUACUUCAGGAAACUUGGGCUAAUACCCGAUAGGAGCUCCUUCUUCAUGGUGGGGGUUGGAAAGUUUCGGCGGUUGGGGAUUGACUCGCGGCUUAUCAGCUUGUUGGUGGGGUAGUGGCUUACCAAGGCUUUGACGGGUAUCCGGCCUGAGAGGGUUACCGGCCACAUUGGGACUGAGAUACGGCCCAGACGACUACGGGAGGCAGCAGUGGGGAAUAUUGCACAAUGGGCGGAAGCCUGAUGCAGCAACGCCGCGUGCGGGAUGACGGCCUUCGGGUUGUAAACCGCUUUCGCCUGUGACGAAGCGUGAGUGACGGUAAUGGGUAAAGAAGCACCGGCUAACUACGUG